rnacentral:rRNA from 1 species
AACGAACGCUGGCGGCAGGCCUAACACAUGCAAGUCGAACGCCGUAGCAAUACGGAGUGGCAGACGGGUGAGUAACGCGUGGGAACAUGCCCUUUGGUUUGGAAUAACUCAGGGAAACUUGAGCUAAUACCGGAUAAGCCCGAGAGGGGAAAGAUUUAUCGCCGAAGGAUUGGCCCGCGUCCGAUUAGCUAGUUGGUGAGGUAAUGGCUCACCAAGGCGACGAUCGGUAGCUGGUUUGAGAGGAUGAUCAGCCACACUGGGACUGAGACACGGCCCAGACUCCUACGGGAGGCAGCAGUGGGGAAUAUUGGACAAUGGGCGCAAGCCUGAUCCAGCCAUGCCGCGUGAGUGAUGAAGGCCCUAGGGUUGUAAAGCUCUUUCGCCAGGGACGAUAAUGACGGUACCUGGAUAAGAAGCCCCGGCUAACUUCGUG